rnacentral:lncRNA from 1 species
UAAAACACUUGCAAAAAUACGUAUAUAAAAAGCCUGAAACACUUAAAAAUGACGCACAACAUACAUGUACAACCAUUGCAACAUCUGCAACAUCUUGAUCUACUUUUGUAACAUCCGUAUAAAACAAUUGAAACAUACACAUAAAACAACCGAAACACUUGAAACAUGGGCUUGCAACAUAUCACAAAAAAGAGUCCAAAAACACUCAAAACACAUCAACAUCGCGCGGCCAUAACCUACUUGGUGGAACCUGCGGUGGCACAGGCUCGCUGGAUGGUCUGCUUGCAUGCCCCUGCCAUGCCCGCCGUUAGCCAAGGGAGAGGAGACGCUGCUAGAUCUGGGGAGGACACUGCCGGCCACGGUAGGGGAGGGUCAGCAGCUUGCUUGAGCCCCGCCGGCCACACGCCACCAGCUUCCUCGAGCCUGCUAGCCAGAUCGGUGAGAUACAGGUAGGGAUGGGACACGGCGGGUAGUAGCAGGGUGCGCGGUGCGCAGCGAGCUGGAGCGAGAACGUCGGAGCUUGGAACAUGCCAAGGCGAUGGAGGAGCGUCCGGUGCUAGAUGGAGAGCUGCACGCCGCGAAAUGGGCUGCACAGCGGGGAAGACGGCAGCAGCCGAACAGCGAGCGCACGAGUAACUGCAGAGAAAUGGAUAAGUACGAAGUGGAAGAUAUUUUGCUAGACGAUAAGACGCAAUGAAACAUACCUGUUGAGCCACGGAGGCCCACAAAGC